rnacentral:rRNA from 1 species
GACGAACGCUGGCGGCGUGCUUAACACAUGCAAGUCGAACGGAAAGGCCCUGCUUUUGUGGGGUGCUCGAGUGGCGAACGGGUGAGUAACACGUGAGUAACCUGCCCUUGACUUUGGGAUAACUUCAGGAAACUGGGGCUAAUACCGGAUAGGAGCUCCUGCUGCAUGGUGGGGGUUGGAAAGUUUCGGCGGUUGGGGAUGGACUCGCGGCUUAUCAGCUUGUUGGUGGGGUAGUGGCUUACCAAGGCUUUGACGGGUAGCCGGCCUGAGAGGGUGACCGGCCAAAUUGGGACUGAGAUACGGCCCAGACUCCUACGGGAGGCAGCAGUGGAGAAUAUUGCACAAUGGGCGGAAGCCUGAUGCAGCAACGCCGCGUGCGGGAUGACGGCCUUCGGGUUGUAAACCGCUUUCGCCUGUGACGAAGCGUGAGUGACGGUAAUGGGUAAAGAAGCACCGGCUAACUACGUG